rnacentral:rRNA from 1 species
GAAAGGGAAACGAUUGAAGUCAGUCGUACCGACGAGAAAUCAACUUAUCGUGUGCGAACUUGUGGGCGUGCGUGAGUUUCGGCCUCGCUGUUUGCAUGUUUGUGCGUUUUGGGUGUACUUUUUCGUAUGGUAGGCCAACGUCAGUUUCGAUUAUCAUAAAAUGACCGGCGGAAUGUAGCUUCGAUUUCGGUUGAAGUGUUAUAGCCUCUGGUAGAUGUGGUGAUUGAGACUGAGGAUUGCAACGAAUACCCUUUGGGCUAUCCGUCUGGCCUCUGAAAGUUGCUCAGGUGCCGAAAGCGUGCUUACGGUCAUCUAAGUUAACGUUCAACAGGUUAGAACGUGAUUACAUUCGUUAAGGAUGUUGACGUA